AACGAACGCUGGCGGCAGGCUUAACACAUGCAAGUCGAACGCCCCGCAAGGGGAGUGGCAGACGGGUGAGUAACGCGUGGGAAUCUACCGUACCCUACGGAACAACAGUUGGAAACGACUGCUAAUACCGGAUGAUGACUUCGGUCCAAAGAUUUAUCGCCCAAGGAUGAGCCCGCGUAGGAUUAGCUUGUUGGUGAGGUAAAAGCUCACCAAGGCGACGAUCCUUAGCUGGUCUGAGAGGAUGAUCAGCCACACUGGGACUGAGACACGGCCCAGACUCCUACGGGAGGCAGCAGUGGGGAAUAUUGGACAAUGGGCGCAAGCCUGAUCCAGCCAUGCCGCGUGAGUGAUGAAGGCCUUCGGGUUGUAAAGCUCUUUCGCACACGACGAUGAUGACGGUAGUGUGAGAAGAAGCCCCGGCUAACUUCGUGCCAGCCGCCGCCGUAA
rnacentral:rRNA from 1 species